rnacentral:rRNA from 1 species
GACAGAGGGGGCAAGCGUUGUCCGGACUGACUGGGCGUAAAGCGCACGCAGGUGGUUACGGGCGUCGGUGCUGAAAGUCCACCGCUUAACGGUGGAUCGCGUGCCGAUACGCCGUGACUGGAGCCGUGCAGAGGCCAGUGGAAUUGCCGGUGUAGUGGUGAAAUGCGUAGAGAUCGGCAGGAACACCCAUGGGGAAGCCAACUGGCUGGGCACGCGCUGACACUCAUGUGCGACAGCGUGGGGAGCGAACUGG